GACCUGGGGAUGGUGGGAGGAGGAGCUUGUAGACCUGGGGAUGGUGGGAGGAGGAGCUUGUAGACCUGGGGAUGGUGGGAGGAGGAGCUUGUAGGCCUUGGGUGUUGGUUGUUAGUUGGAAUAAACAGAGCUCUUAUCUUGUUUCCAAAGAACUGACAUUAACUGCUAUAAAAAUGAAAGGAGCUGAAGUUACACUGAAUCAGCCAAUCACAGACUUGAUCAUAUGGCAUCACCGCUAGCUACCAGUUUUAAAUACACAGUAGUUUAAAAACCAUUAGCUACUUAGUGUUAUAUGUUAUAAUUUGGUUAUAAUCAUGCCUGGCUAGCUAAUCUAAUCUAAUCUAAUCUAAUGUUGCUAAUGAAUAAUGAAAGUUUUUAUAAAUUUUUAUAAUUUUAUAGCUAAGCUGCUCCAAAGAAGUGAAAAGAAAGGCUAGCGAUGAUGUCACAGGAGUAACGCUCUAGGGGCAGAGGGACAGCGUGAGCUCCGGUCAUGAACAAUGACUGCAGAAAUGGAGAUUUAGAUCAGAUAAAGGCGGGAUUGUGACGAGAACUCGGCGAACAGGAAGCAGCAUAACUCCACACUCAUCACCGGGAAACUCCACACACACACACACACACACCCCGUUACGACUCAACACCGCUUACACACUUCUUGCAGAAUAAACCACUGUGUGUUUCAGUUCUGAUUUAACACAACACCAGACCUGAUAUAUGUCAUUUGAAUAUGCAAAUAGGUCAAGCAUCACAUCCUCCUGUCCCAGUGAACCAAUAUCUCUCUCUCUCUCUCUCUCUCUCUCUCUCUCUCUCUCUCUCUCUCUCUCUCUCUCACUCACUCACACACACACACACACACACACACACAAUUCCUUUCAUCCUGGGGAUUAUGGGUAAGUGAUGGACUAAUGCCACACCUCCAAAACCCCACAGCAUGUUGGUAACCGAGCAGGAGACAGCUGAUUGGUCGAGCUCGGGAGGUGUGUCCCGAAACAUUGCAACCGUCUACUGUGGGUUUAUUCAGGAUUUCAGAGAGAAAGUGAGAAAGAGACAGAAAGACAGUGAAAGAAAGAGAGCAAGAGAGAUAAAGAGAGACAGAGAUAGAAAGACAGAGAAAGCAAGAGGGAUAAAGUGAGAAAUAAAGUGAAAGAAAGAGAGAGUGAAACAGAGCAAGAGAGGUAAAGAGAGAGACAGAGAGAAAUAGAAAGAGUGAAAGAAAGAAAGAGCAGGAGGGAUAAAGAGAGAGAUAGAAAGACAGUGAAAGAAAGACAGAGAGAGAGAGAGAGAAAGACAGUGAGAGAAAGAUGGAGAGAACAAAAGAGAUGGACAAAGAGAGAGAGACAGUAAUGUGAUUACAUAUAAAUAUAGUUAUAUGUAAACAGUGUUCAGUUAGUUGUUAGUUAGUUGUUAGUUAGUUAAUAGUUAGUUGUGGUAAUGAACAUUGUGUAAAAGUCUGUUAUUUAAAAUAAGCUGCCCACACACACUACUGCACGUGUGAGGGGUUACAGAGCAGGAGGAUACAUCAGACCUCAAACACACACACACACACACACCACUUCCUCAUCAUAUGACAAUGACAGGACGUGUUUCAGUCACGUACACACACACACACACACACACACACACACACGCACAGAGUGGAGUUAUUGGUUAACUCGUGCCUGCUGUAAUGUAUAUAUAUAUAUAUAUAUAUAGAGACUACACCAGCACACUAACACACACACACACACACACGCUACACCAGCACACUAACACACACACACACGCUACACCAGCACACUUCCUGAAAGAAACAAUGUGCUUACACGCAGUUGAAAUAGAUGGAUGGAGGGUAAUUUUUCACUCUUGCAGCGUCACACACCCAUUUUAAAUUCUGGAACAGCUAUUUUCUAAAUUAAAAUUUAUUUAAAUCACACGUAAGCAAUUUUAUUCAUAAACAAGAUUUUAUCGUGUUAUUUUUUUCUCAUUGCUCAAACUUCACUUCCAGCAGCACCAUGAACCGGUUAUCUGGAGGCUUUGGGCAAAAUGACUUAUAAAAUAACCGACUGAAACUUUCCACUCAAACAAACACAAAAAAAAUCCUCACCUCUCCUCUAACAAACAUCGUCCUCAUAAACACUUUAGAGUACAGGAUUUUCCUCAACAGUGCGUACAAAUACAACCGGUCACGCUUUCUCUCAGUCUCCAGAAACUGUUGCUGUCAUGUAUUAACAUUAAUAUCAGCAAUUCUAAUCAGAGCCGUAAUAAAGCUUUUCUAGAUAGAUAGAUAGAUAGAUAGAUAGAGUUCUUUAUUGAUUCCUGAGUGAAAAUGUUUUGUCACACCAGUAGACAAUCGCACACACACCGUAUACUAACAAGACACACUUCAUCUGUAAGUCAGUAAGUAAGGAAGAUGCAUACAUGUCAUGUGGAAUACAGUGUCAUGUGGAAUACAGUGUCAUGUAGACCCCAGUGGCCUUCCUUGAAGAAAUGCACAUGCUCCUCAGUCUGUUCCCUCCUGACAGCUCCAGUUCUCUUGCCUUCUCCCUUUUCUGCAUUCCUUCUCCUUAAAAUUCAACAGCUGUGUACACACAAGGGAGGAAACGCCCUGGACCUUGUUUUACAUGCCAGAGUCUUUAAUGCUAAAAUGGCGACUGUUCUAUCUGCCUCAGGAGUUCACAUCUGUGAUCAUUGUUCCUGUGUUCGUCCCUCCGGACGCUAAUACAAAAGCAGCGCUUGGAUAAAUAAAUAUACGAGCUGGUGAGUAAAUUACAGACUGCACGACCAGACGGCUUCUGGGGACUUUAAUCAGACUAACAACAAAUUUCCAACACGUGAAGUCUGUAACCAGCAUCGCUGUUUGGUACGGGAACUGCCGUGAAUCAGACCGCAAGAUCCUGCAGCGGAUAGUGAAGACAGCGGAGAACAUCAUGGAGGUCCCUCUGCCUCCAAAACAGGACACAUACCUCAAACACUGCCUCAGCAAAGCCACCAAAAUGGUGGCUGACUCCUCCCAUCCCUCCCAUAAACACGUAAGCAGAAGAUACUGAAGCAUCCACACCAAGUCCACCAGAUUGAGGACCAGGUGCUUUCCACAAGCCCUCAAAGAUAAUCUGACUCUCAGCCACCUCCAGCCGAAUUAACGGGCACAGACCUCCAUCACACACUAGCCACUUUAAUCACUCCAUCUCUGUAUCCUGUUGGUUUUUGUUGCUGUUCUGUAUUCACAGUCAGGAUGCACCAUCCACCCACACCAGUAUUACCUGUCCUACAGGUACGCCACAACAACUCUCACAGACUUCUCACACACACACACACACACACACACACACACACACACACACUAUCCUGCUGUUCACACUGUUACAGCCGUUGUAACAGUUGUGUUGUGUGUUGAGUUUUCUGUCCAAUUCCAAUCUUUGCCGUUUGUUACAGGGUCUGAUAUCCGAUAUAUUUUCUCCAAAAUAUCCGAUCAAACAUAUUUGUCUGGCUUCGGCCCGAUAGCGAUGCUGGGCAUCAGAUUGGUACAGAGUGUUGUACAGAGUGUCUGUGUGAUUAAACUCAAAAUAUCACAGUGGAUUUUUGCUCAUUUUCAAUAAUAAAGGUGCCAAUACUUAUGGAGUCAACUCUAUAUAGGAGCCUGAUAUUUAAAAACAAACACAAGAUGUUUGAGUUUGUUCAUCUCGUUCUUUUAUUUCCCCACCCGUCUGUCUCUUUCUUUCUUCUGUGUCUGUGUCUGUGUGUGUGUGUGUGUGUGUGUGUGUGUGUGAACUAUAUCCUCGUUCAUGCACAUACAAUCUCGGUGAGUCAGAGUGGGAGGAGCUUCUCUGUGUCUGAUCAUAAAUACACAUAAUGCUCAUUGUUUUGCUCAGCACACGCACACACACGCACACACACACACACACACACACACACACACACACACACACACUCACUGUGUGGAACACGGAACUAACACUGUUAUUAAACAUGGUGAAGGGUGUGGCCCAGAAAGAUUCAUCUAUUAUUGAUUAACUCACCAAAAAUAAACAGUAGCAGAACUCUCAGGGUGGAACGUAGUGUGUUUGCGUGCGUGCGUGUGUGUGUGUGUGUGUGUGCAUGUGCAUGCGUGCGUGUGUGUGUGUGUGUGUGUGUGUGUGCGUGUGAUGGAAAUUGCUGAUGGAAUAUCAGAGAGAUGGUGGUGCAUUAAUGAGCUCUCUGCUUACAUCCCAAGCUCUCACAAUAUAUGUGUGUGUGUGUGUGUGUGUGUGUGUGUGUGUGAUGUAAUGACUGGAAUAUAUGGGGAAUAUUUAAGACCUUGGAUCUCGGCUCAGGAAUGUGAGAGGAACGUCAAACUUGCGCUGACUUGUUACUCUUUACCUCCCUGUCCUAUGGUGUGAAUUUGAGGAAAAUUGGAGAAAGUUGAAUUUUUCAUCCACAAAAAAAAUCACAAAGGCUUACUGUUACUUACUCACUGUUUUUUUGGAUGAAAAAUUCGACUUUCUCUGAUUUUCCCCAAAUUCUCACCGUAGGAUAGAGAGGUUCAGAGUGACAAGUCAGCGAAAGGUUGACGUUCCUCUCACAUUCCUGAGCCGAGAUCCGUCUCCGUCUCCAGCUCUUCUGUAGCGAUGGCACAAUACUUCAUGUUCUCUUAGAUGCAGGUCUUGUAACGCUGCUUUGGACGUCCAUGCGGUUUCUGGCCUUGUGAUAAAGCGUCGUACGGGAUUUGGAAAGCGUAUGUGGAAUUGCUGGAGCUGUUUGAUAUGCUUCCUGUCUCACAUCAGUAUAGGAGGCUGGUGAGGUAACUACUGCAUUGUACGCUCUGAUCUUUGUGGACAGACCUGAUUUCACUGUAUUGUGGAGAGACUGAGCAGGUGGACGAGAGCGUAGAAUCGUUUUAUUCAUAUGGACUUCCUGUUAAAGAUCAUGUGUCUGUGUCUGAUGUCUCAGUGUACACCAAUGUCACCAAUAUAACUAAUAUCACUAAUGUAACUAAUAUCACUAAUGACACUAAUUUCACUAAUAUAACUAAUAUCACUAAUGACACCAAUGUCACCAAUGUCACUAAUGUCACUAAUAUAACUAAUAUCACUAAUGACACCAAUGUCACCAAUGUCACUAAUGUCACUAAUAUAACUAAUAUCACUAAUGACACCAAUGUCACCAAUGUCACUAAUGUCACUAUUGACAUCAGUGUCUCUAAUAUCACUAAUAUCACUAAUGACACCAAUGUCACCAAUGUCACUAAUGUCACUAUUGACAUCAGUGUCUCUAAUAUCACUAAUAUCACUAAUGACACCAAUGUCACCAAUGUCACUAAUGUCACUAUUGACAUCAGUGUCUCUAAUAUCACUAAUAUCACUAAUGACACCAAUGUCAUGAAUGUCACCAAUGUCACUAAUAUAACUAAUGCCAAUAAUGUCAAUGUCACUAAUUUAAUAAUGUAACAUGUCAAUAAUGUAACUAAUGUCACUAAUAUCACUAAUGACACCAAUGUCACCUGUGUCAAUAAUGUCACUAAUAUCACUAAUGGCACUAAUGGCACUAAUGACAUCAAUGUCACCAAUGUCAUGAAUGUCACCAAUGUCACUAAUAUAACUAAUGCCAAUAAUGUCAAUGUCACUAAUUUAAUAAUGUAACAUGUCAAUAAUGUAACUAAUGUCACUAAUGUCAAUUUCACUAAUGUCAAUAAUGUCACCACUAAUGUCACCAAAGUCACUAAUAUCACAAAUAUCACUAAUGGCACUUUCACUAAUACCACUAAUUUUGUAGACCUGAUUUAUUUACUUCCCUACACACAGACCCUGCACUCUACAAACUCUAACCUCUAAACUCUUCUCCAGCUCAUGAUGAGUCGGUUUCAGGAAGUUCACACUCACUUUAAUUCACAGAGCAGAGUUCCAGAGAUUCACACGGUGUUUAAUCGUCACAUUGAGGAAUCACAUGAUCACCUCAGCAGCGUCAGUGUUCAGCGCUGUAAUAAACUCAUAUACACUCAUCUCGAACGUAAAAAUAAAUACACCAAUAAAAGAAUAAA